AUAAUGCUGCGACGACAAUGCUUAGAAGGAUUUUAAUGAGUGAGACAACGUAUAUUUGCGCUUAUGCAAUGAGAGAAUUUAGAACUUUUGUGAUGGUUUAAGAUUUAGUUUGCAAUAGAAAACAAGAGCUAAAGCUUUGAUAUUAUAUUAGUCAUGUGGCAACUAAUUUCAUAGGGGAGCAAGAAAAUGACCAAGGGACUAAAGCAAUCAGACUCUAGAAUAAUCAUGAUGCGAUAUUCGAGGACGAAUGAUCUCAAACGGGGAGAAUGUUAUGCCCCAUAAGUUUACAUGAUUAAAUUUUUGAUAAUUACAAACUUAAUGAUGUAAUUUAAUUGAUCCGUAGGUGGAUACAGACCUCCAUGAGGACGAGAAUAUAUUGGGAUGUGGUAACAUAUACGAGAUCUCAGGUGUGGAGUUAAAUUGGAGUAUUAAUUAAAACGGCUGGUGGGCAUACUGCAAAUUUUUGGUUGGAUAAUUAUGUGAAAUUGAUUAAUAUUAAAGGUGAAAGAAAAGGGUCCAUGGCCCAACCCAAUUUCUGGAUCACAAUAUGAAAAGUUAAGGCAAUAGAACAUUGCCUUUUAUAGGAAAAUACCCUAAGUUGCCGCAGCUACCCGGUUGAGUAAGGGAAGCUUUCUGCAACUCAAGGAAUACCAAAUACUUACAAUUCUUCUUUUAGGAUUUAAAUAUGGGAGCUUCAUAAAGGGAAUUAGGGAUGGAGUUUUGGCAGCAAACCUUGUGCUUUAGUUCAUUAUGAAAGAAGCAAUUAUAACUCCAUCAAAAGAAAAUGAUCGAAGCAAUUGCAAAGGGUAUUUUGGGGUUAAUCUAUGGUGGCAUUAAGAGGAAAUAUAGCUGGUAUUGUAUUCAUACCAGUGGAAUAAUUUGUUUAGAGAUGUUAUCGGAGGAAGAGGCACCUACUCCGGUCAACAAAAGAGGAUAAGAGAAAUCUUUCAGUAUUAGCCGCAAUUAUAAGCAUUGACAUCGUGAAUAACAUAUCAGAUGACUUGGUGAGCAGCGAGUUUGAGCUGGGUAGCUUUGAGAAAAUCUUGCUCUAUCUUUUAGGGGUAGCCACUGAGAUUUACUGGGUAUCCUUUGGUGGUACUUAGCCUGAUUGGGCCUGCCACGUUGUGUGGCAGGUGUUGAGAUUGUAGGUGACGAGAUACGUGGCUAGAGACAGACUCCGUAGACUCAGUUGGCGAGCCCUGUUAGUUUUUCAUUGGUGGUCGGAUUUCUUCAGCUUAUGUUAUUUUUUUUGGCACAUUAUUUAUUCAAUGCGUUAUAGUUAAUGUAUUCAAAUUUAAAUCAUUAGAGGCUCAUGACUUAGUUUAGUGAGUUAUGGUUCAGAGCUCAACUGUGUUAGAAUCAUGUAACUUAGUUAUCAGAUAAUUGAUUUAAUGUAGUUUUAGUUAUUUAAAUUUGUUGCACUUAAUGAUAUUUAUGGUAUUUACACUCGA